rnacentral:rRNA from 1 species
AGAGUUUGAUCAUGGCUCAGAUUGAACGCUGGCGGCAGGCCUAACACAUGCAAGUCGAACGGUAACAGGAAGAAGCUUGCUUCUUUGCUGACGAGUGGCGGACGGGUGAGUAAUGUCUGGGAAACUGCCUGAUGGAGGGGGAUAACUACUGGAAACGGUAGCUAAUACCGCAUAACGUCGCAAGACCAAAGAGGGGGACCUUCGGGCCUCUUGCCAUCGGAUGUGCCCAGAUGGGAUUAGCUAGUAGGUGGGGUAACGGCUCACCUAGGCGACGAUCCCUAGCUGGUCUGAGAGGAUGACCAG